rnacentral:rRNA from 1 species
AACGAACGCUGGCGGCAUGCCUAACACAUGCAAGUCGAACGAGACCUUCGGGUCUAGUGGCGCACGGGUGCGUAACGCGUGGGAACCUGCCCUUAGGUUCGGAAUAACUCCCCGAAAGGGGUGCUAAUACCGGAUAAUGUCUUCGGACCAAAGAUUUAUCGCCUUUGGAUGGGCCCGCGUUGGAUUAGCUAGUUGGUAGGGUAAAAGCCUACCAAGGCGACGAUCCAUAGCUGGUCUGAGAGGAUGAUCAGCCACACUGGGACUGAGACACGGCCCAGACUCCUACGGGAGGCAGCAGUGGGGAAUAUUGGACAAUGGGCGAAAGCCUGAUCCAGCACUGCCGCGUGAGUGAUGAAGGCCUUAGGGUUGUAAAGCUCUUUUACCCGGGAUGAUAAUGACAGUACCAGGAGAAUAAGCUCCGGCUAACUCCGU